rnacentral:tRNA from 1 species
AUCUUUCUAGUACUAAAUAGUACACGUGACUUCCAAUUACUUAGUCUUGGUUUGAACCCAAGGAAAGAUAAU